CCCGCCCUCAAAUUCACAUAGUCCACCUUGGACACCUCCCUCCCCUUUCUUGACCUCACCAGUAUUUAACCAGAAUAUUUGUUUGACUAAAGGACAGUGGUAGGAGGUUCCUGCACUGACUGCCUGCCCCAGCUAGCGGUCACCCAUCUAUUUUCCAGUACCUUGGAUGUGACCAUGUUUCUACAGCUUUUUAUGAUGCUUCAUAUAGCACCAAAGGAGUGAAUGGGCUAACACAAACUAGUAUCUAACCAGCACCGAUUAAUCAGAAAGUAUGCUCCUUUUCUCCUUGUGACAUCAGCAGGAUGUUUCCCUGGAAUGCGUGGUUUCCAACUCCUGAAAGGAAUGUGCCCAAAUCGAAACCAGGCCCGAGAGCCCCCGCACUCAAUUUUAAAUUCUCCCUGGUACAGGCUCCUCCUGAAAGGAAGGUGCUUAAACUAGGCCCAAGAACCCUAGUGCUCGAUUUUAAAUCUUCCCCGGUACAGGCUCCUGCUAGUGACUCCUCUUUUUGUCCUGCACUCUAACUCCCCUUCUCACCACCACUCUUCUUCCUCUCCCUUCAGUUCUUUUUAACCGUUGCCCUUAUUUCUAUUCAUCUCCUCUUAUUCUUCUUACUGUCCUUUCUGGUCUCCUCCUUUCUCCCCAUCCACUCUGUCACCCAUUCCCUUCUCAUUCACUUUCCCUUCCCUGUUCCUUUCUUUCUCAGCUGUUGCUCCUCUUAAUUUGUAUUUACUCUGACUGUACCUCACCCUUACCAUCCUCCCCCUACUUACAUCCCUUCUCACCUCAACCUAUCUCCAGUCACUGCCUUCACUUUGUACCUCUGAAAUCUACCUCCUCCCCCAGCCUUGCGUUUAUCAAAUGCCUGUAUUGUCUAAACCAGUUUGACUUGAAAUGGGGCCAGAUUCAGGCUGUCAUGCAAAAGAUCAUUGACAGUGGCACUUAAAGCAAAAACAAGAAAGUGCUGAGGUUAAUUAAAUUCAACACGCGUGUGUUGAACUAUGGAUUAGUGUUAAUUCCAAUCUAUUGCAAUUAAAUAAUGUACAGAAAGCUUUUGAAUGCACUUAUUUUCAAAUGAAAUGCGUAAUGAAUCUUUUGUUCCCUGAGCCAUCAGAGAGAAUAACAAGGAAGCCACCGAUAACAAAAGAUUGACAGCCCCAAAUAUUUUGGAUCAAUCAGGAGAGUAGAGGCAGAUUCAUUGAAGAUGGGAGGAUCACUUGCUGCAGUAAACAGGUUAUAUUGAAUGUACGAGCUGUACCAACAGCUGAAAAUCUGGCUCAGAGCCAAGGGGGACGCACCAACAGCUGCAGCAAGAUAAUUCUUUAUCUGAGACCUGAAAGCCAGAGCAGGAACACCAAGAACACAGUGUGUGCCGUUGUGUACAGACUGAGACUCUUAAUUCCAAAUACGACGGACAAAGACUGAGGCUGACUUACUUGGUCAAAGGCCACUUGCAACACAGAAGAGGGAAAGCUGCCAGUCUGAAGCAAGAGCUGAAAGACAACUUUGUGCUUACCUGUCCCUCCUGCACCACCUGAUAUGGAAGCUCAGCACAAGUUGAAUGGUUGUAAUUCUGACCUUGAAGCACAGGCACAUGCCCUGAAUCAACUGCCCCCAAACACAGGCGAUCAACGUAAGAGCACUCAGCACAUCAGCCUCCUCUCAGGAGCAGCAUUUAAACCAGUGACAAGUUGGUUCUCAGUAUGUUGCAAGCCUGUGUGUCAGGAACAUUAUCCUCACAGAAAACUGGUCAUCUUUCUCUGCAUUGUACUUUUUCUCAUCUUGGGCCUCAUCCUGUUACUGUGGAAUUAUUAUUGCAUUAUUGUCCAGCAUCUCUGCGAUGAUUCCGUGGAUAAUAUCACGCCACAUCUAACAAAGCACCCAGCUGAAGAACAUGCUGUCAUCCUCAAUCAAAACGCUGUGAUUUUGAUUUAGCCGUCUAGUCGAGUUACACUUGAAAAUGAAAUUUGAGCUUUGCUUUAUUUGUUCUUGGGAAGUGGACAGCUUUGGCAUUAAUAAUUGAUUUUAUGUAUAGAUUGGGUUAGUACAGGAGCUUCCUUUCCUAGGAAGCCAACAUGUUUUUCAUUUUAAGCCACCUACUUUCAUGUAAGUUCUCUUUCAAAUGAAAUACUUAAAUUGAUAUAAUGCCUUAUACAACUUGCUGAUCUUGCUCAUGGGCAGAAAACAGCCAGUGAGGAUAAGGGGGUUCCACAGGGAUCAGUGCUGGGAAUGCAGCUGUGUACAAUAUGUAUUAUUCCCUGGAGAAAGGAAUCAAAUACAAUUUGAGGAUGAUGCAGAAGUAGGCGGAAAGGCAUGUUUGAGAGGUAUGCAAACAGUUUACGGAGAGAGAACAGAAGAACAGAAUAUUAUUUAAAUGGAGAAAACCCUCAUAAAUAUGCAACACAAAGGGGCUUGGGGGGAACUUGUCCCCAAAACUAAGUUUAUGGAAAAAAGACAGGAAAAUGGAGUCAAGGGUUAUCAGAUCAGCCAUGAUCUCUUUAAAUGGUGAAUGCCCUCCCUCUGCUUGUAUGCCUUCCAGUCUUAUG